rnacentral:hammerhead_ribozyme from 1 species
AUCUAGUUGAUGAGUCGAAAAUAGGACAAAACGCGUGUCCUAGAU